rnacentral:rRNA from 1 species
AUGCCUUCAGUAACGGCGAGCGAAGCAGGCAUAGCUCAAAUUUGUAAUCUGGCGUCUUUGACGUCCGAGUUGUAUUUUCUAGAAGCGAGUUCGGCGACAGCUCCUACCCAAGUCCGUUGGAACGCGGCGUCAUGGAGGGUGAGAAUCCCGUGAAUGGUAGGAUGUCUGCUGCUAUGUGAACCGCCUUCGAAGAGUCGAGUUGUUUGGGAAUGCAGCUCUAAAUGGGAGGUAAAUUUCUUCUAAAGCUAAAUAUUGGCCAGAGACCGAUAGCGAACAAGUAGAGUGAUCGAAAGAUGAAAAGAACUUUGAAAAGAGAGUUAAACAGUACGUGAAAUUGUUGAAAGGGAAGCGCUUGAGAUCAGACUUCCUGUCUGGACUGUCCUUGCUUUUGCUUGGGUCAACAGUCUGGGCGUGGAGGCCAGCAUCAGUUUUGACGGCCGGAUAAAGGCCUUGGGAAGGUAGCUCCUCUCGGGGAGUGUUAUAGCCCAGGGUGUAAUACGGCCAGUUGGGACUGAGGACCGCGGCUUUGCCUAGGAUGCUGGCGUAAUGGUCUUAAGCGACCCGUCUUGA